rnacentral:rRNA from 1 species
GACGAACGCUGGCGGCGUGCCUAAUACAUGCAAGUCGACCUUAGUGGCGGACGGGUGAGUAAUGCCUAGGAAUCUGCAUGGUAGUGGGGGAUAACGUCAGGAAACGGGCGCUAAUACCGCAUACUAACAGAUGAGCCUAGGUCGGAUUUGCUAGUUGGUGGGGUAAAGGCCUACCAAGGCGACGAUCCGUAACUGGUCUGAGGGGAUGAUCAGUCACACUGGAACUGAAAACCGGGCCAGACUCCUACGGUAGGAAGCAGUGGGGAAUAUUGGACAAGGGGCGAAAGCCUGAUCCAGCCAGGCCGCGUGUGUGAAGAAGGUCUUCGGUUUGUAAAGCACGUUAAGUUGGGAGGCGUUACCAACAGAAUAAGCACCGGCUAACUUCGUGCCAGCAGCCGCGGUAAUUC